GCAUUAUGCAUACACUAAAAUAAUAAUGACAAGAAGAAGAUUAGCACAGACCCUGUGACAUAAUAACAUGUAAAUUCAUGAGACAUUCCAUCUUUUU
rnacentral:snRNA from 1 species